rnacentral:rRNA from 1 species
GCAGGGGCGGUGGAGCCCUCCUAUAACCUUAAGUCGAGCGAACAGAAAAGGAGCUUGCUCCUUUGACGUUAGCGGCGGACGGGUGAGUAACACGUGGGCAACCUACCCUAUAGUUUGGGAUAACUCCGGGAAACCGGGGCUAAUACCGAAUAAUCUCUUUUGCUUCAUGGUGAAAGACUGAAAGACGGUUUCGGCUGUCGCUAUAGGAUGGGCCCGCGGCGCAUUAGCUAGUUGGUGAGGUAACGGCUCACCAAGGCGACGAUGCGUAGCCGACCUGAGAGGGUGAUCGGCCACACUGGGACUGAGACACGGCCCAGACUCCUACGGGAGGCAGCAGUAGGGAAUCUUCCACAAUGGGCGAAAGCCUGAUGGAGCAACGCCGCGUGAGUGAAGAAGGUUUUCGGAUCGUAAAACUCUGUUGUAAGGGAAGAACAAGUACAGUAGUAACUGGCUGUACCUUGACGGUACCUUAUUAGAAAGCCACGGCUAACUACGUGCCAGCAGCCGCGGUAAUACGUAGGUGGCAA